AAAUUGAAGAGUUUGAUCAUGGCUCAGAUUGAACGCUGGCGGCAGGCCUAACACAUGCAAGUCGAACGGUAACAGAAAGCAGCUUGCUGCUUUGCUGACGAGUGGCGGACGGGUGAGUAAUGUCUGGGAAACUGCCUGAUGGAGGGGGAUAACUACUGGAAACGGUAGCUAAUACCGCAUAACGUCGCAAGACCAAAGAGGGGGACCUUCGGGCCUCUUGCCAUCGGAUGUGCCCAGAUGGGAUUAGCUAGUAGGUGGGGUAACGGCUCACCUAGGCGACGAUCCCUAGCUGGUCUGAGAGGAU
rnacentral:rRNA from 1 species